rnacentral:rRNA from 1 species
GUCCUAGCCGUAAACGGUGCGCACUUGCUGUGAGCGGAAUCGACCCCGUUCGUGGCGAAGCUAACGCGUUAAGUGCGCCGCCUGGGGAGUACGGUCGCAAGAUUAAAACUCAAAGAAAUUGACGGGGCCUGCACAAGCGGUGGAGUAUGUGGCUUAAUUCGAUGCAACGCGAAGAACCUUACCUGGCCUUGACAUGCAAGUGGUAGAAGCCUGAAAGGGUAACGACCCCGCAAGGGGAGCUUGCACAGGUGCUGCAUGGCUGUCGU